AGACAAUAAAUUUUGGCUAUAGGUAACGAAUACACAUAAAACUAAAUUGCAUUACACCCAUACUAAGAUAGAACAUACGUUGUUACGUCAUUCAUAAGUUCUAGUACAAACAUAAUUCGAUUAACAAGUUCAACCCAAUAAAACUAAUCAAGUGGCCUCCUUUGUUUUCCCGUUUCCUUCCGAACUUCCGUUUCCCUUGCGGAAAGUAAUGUUCAAGUUAAUCUCUACAUCUCGUUCGUAGGAUAUUCAAGCUAGAGUUUCGAACAUUCUUGGCAAAUCUUCGACUUCCUCAUUUGCCGCAACAUUAAGCGCUUCAUUAAUGGUACUCGAUUCUCCGCUUGACUCUCCUUGUUCGACCCAUUCGAAAAAUCCACAUUUCUUACUGCAUGUGUUGAAUAAUCGCCCUUUGUUACACGUCUACUUUUCAACCUCAAAAUUUUUCUGAAAUCCAUGUGCACACCUUGGGCAACAACGUUUUCUGGGGCAUUCAUCGAAAAAAUGUCCAUUGCUUCUACAACUGUGACAAAUUUCAGCAUUCCUUCCUUUCAUAUCCUUAGAUGGAAAACAAGCACAUAAAUCAG
rnacentral:lncRNA from 1 species